AACGCGAAGAAACUUACCUACCCUUGACAUGUCUGGAAUUCCGAAGAGAUUUGGAAGUGCUCGCAAGAGAACCGGAACACAGGUGCUGCAUGGCUGUCGUCAGCUCGUGUCGUGAGAUGUUGGGUUAAGUCCCGCAACGAGCGCAACCCUUGUCAUUAGUUGCUACGAAAGGGCACUCUAAUGAGACUGCCGGUGACAAACCGGAGGAAGGUGGGGAUGACGUCAAGUCCUCAUGGCCCUUAUGGGUAGGGCUUCACACGUCAUACAAUGGUCGGGACAGAGGGUCGCCAACCCGCGAGGGGGAGCCAAUCCCAGAAACCCGAUCGUAGUCCGGAUCGCAGUCUGCAACUCGACUGCGUGAAGUCGGAAUCGCUAGUAAUCGCGGAUCAGCAUGUCGCGGGAAUACG
rnacentral:rRNA from 1 species